GCUGUUGUAGCUCAGCGGUAGAGCACGCCAUUGGUAAUGGCGAGGUCGUCAGUUCAAUCCUGAUCAACAGCACCA
rnacentral:tRNA from 1 species